GGCGAGGAGGUCCGUACACUCACGGCCGAGGCCUGUGGUAACCUGCCUCUGCCCCGCCGUUGAGGGGCGCCAGUCGACCCAGCGCGGUACCUCCUGCCAACGCUUUCCCCGAUCGCCCCGCCGGCGGCCCCGCGGACAGAUCAUUGCUCUACAGUUGGCCACCAGACCCGUGCUGCUCCCCUGGAAUUCCAACCAGCCUCCCCAGAACCACUGCUGCUACCACCAGGCUGGGAAGGAGGAAGAAGGCUGCCCUCCCCUUUUAUGAUGACUUCUUUCCAGACCCUUGAGCUAAAACCAGACCACCAUGUUUGGCAGCUAAAACUUUGCUGAGGACCUGGGUGAUCUCACCGAAAGCCGUAUGAGGAAGAUGAUUUGAGGAAUCGAGAAAGUGGACCCAAGAAUACCAACUCCCAGCCAGCCCGCCGCCUCAACUCCAAUCUUGGGGAACCUGUGUCUGGAGGGGACCCAGCUCGCCCACCCCUGCGGAUAGGGGUUGGAGGAAACCGGCUUUGCU